rnacentral:lncRNA from 1 species
ACUUCAGUGCAAAUUUUCGGGCUUUUAUUGUAUUCAAUCCCUUGAUACCUUGAAAGCACGAAAGUCGUUGCUAUCUUUUUUCCAGGUCUCCAGUUGAUUGAAUAGGGGCAACUGUAAUACCCCAAAAUUUAGCCUUCAUUUUUCCUGGAAGCAUACGCUUUACACCUCAUGCAUGCAUUCAUUUUUAGGUCAUUUAGCAUUUGCAUU